rnacentral:rRNA from 1 species
CCCUGAUGCACAAGGUACCUUAAUGAACUUUUUAACUUUUAAAAAUUUUUAAAACUUUUAAAUUCCCCUUUUCAGUUAAUUUAGUAAUAAAUUUUUAUUAAAUACAAAAAUAAUAUAAUUUUUUAAAAAAUCGUUAACAAUUUUUAAAUUUUUCAAA